GGAUGCGAUCAUACCAGCACUAAAGCACCGGAUCCCAUCAGAACUCCGCAGAUAAGCGUGCUUGGGCUAGAGUAGUACUAGGAUGGGUGACCCCCUGGGAAGUCCUCGUGUUGCAUCCC
rnacentral:rRNA from 1 species